GACGAACGCUGGCGGCGUGCUUAACACAUGCAAGUCGAACGGGAUUUAGUAAACAGAAGCCUCGGUGGAAGAUUACUAAUGAGAGUGGCGAACGGGUGAGUAACGCGUGAGCAACCUGCCUAUGACAGUGGGAUAGCCUCGGGAAACCGGGAUUAAUACCGCAUAAAAUCGUAGAAACACAUGUUUUAACGGUCAAAGAUUUAUCGGUCAUAGAUGGGCUCGCGUCUGAUUAGCUAGUUGGUGAGAUAACAGCCCACCAAGGCGACGAUCAGUAGCCGGUCUGAGAGGAUGAACGGCCACAUUGGAACUGAGACACGGUCCAAACUCCUACGGGAGGCAGCAGUGGGGAAUAUUGCACAAUGGGGGAAACCCCGAUGCAGCGACGCCGCGUGAACGAAGAAGGUAUUCGUAUCGUAAAGUUCUGUCCUAUGGGAAGAUAAUGACAGUACCAUAGAAGAAAGCUCCGGCUAAAUACGUG
rnacentral:rRNA from 1 species